AUGGAGGACUAUGUACAUGAGUACUACUCAGUUAGCAGAUUUAGGGCAGCAUAUGAAGGUGUAAUUGAACCCCUUACGGACAAGAAUCAAUGGCCACACGUGGACACGGGCUUUGUGUUGCGUCCACCAAUUCCAAUAGGCAAGAAGAAAGGUGCUGGAAGAACAAGAAAACAGAGGAUAAAGAGUUGGUGGGAAGGUGGAUCAAGGAAAGGAUCCUUGAACAAAUGCAAAAAAUGUGGGGAGAUAGGACAUAGAGAAGCUGGUUGUCCUCAAAAUGGAACAAAGAAAAGGAAAAGUAGGGGGAAAAAGAAUCCAUCUCCAUGGUUUGGUGUUUCCGUUAGCAAUGCAGUUCCAUCUACACCAACCAAGAGCAAGAAUGAUGCCACUUGUAGCAGUCCUGGAGCUGUCACAAGAAGCCAAGCUGCAGCUCAAGCUAGUCCUGGACCUGUCACAAGGAGCCAAGCUGCUACCCCACCACCAAAACCUCCAGCAAAAGGAAAGAAGAAGAAAAUGACACCUAAGAGGAAGAAAUUAAGCGACCUGUGA
rnacentral:rRNA from 1 species